CUUUACAUGCUAAUAACCUCGACUUCNGAAGGGGUGUAUUUAUUAGAUAAAAAACCAAUGCCCUUCGGGGCUCCUUGGUGAAUCAUAAUAACUUCACGAAUCGCAUGGCCUUGCGCCGGUGAUGGUUCAUUCAAAUUUCUGCCCUAUCAACUUUCGAUGGUAAGAUAGAGGCUUACCNUGGUCUUAACGGGUAACGGGGAAUUAGGGUUCUAUUCCGGAGAGGGAGCCUGAGAAACGGCUACCACAUCCAAGGAAGGCAGCAGGCGCGCAAAUUACCCAAUCCCGACACGGGGAGGUAGUGACAAUAAAUACUGAUACGGGGCUCUUUUGGGUCUCGUAAUUGGAAUGAGUACAAUCUAAAUCCCUUAACGAGGAACAAUUGGAGGGCAAGUCUGGUGCCAGCAGCCGCGGUAAUUCCAGCUCCAAUAGCGUAUAUUAAAGUUGUUGCCGUUAAAAAGCUCGUAGUUGAACCUUGGGCCGGGCUGACCUGUCCUCCUAAUCGAGCGCACGGGUUCGGUCUGGCCUUUCCUUCUGGGGAACCCCAUGUCCUUCACUG
rnacentral:rRNA from 2 species